rnacentral:rRNA from 1 species
CCUACGGGUGGCAGCAGUGGGGAAUAUUGGGCAAUGGGCGCAAGCCUGACCCAGCAACGCCGCGUGAAGGAAGAAGGCUUUCGGGUUGUAAACUUCUUUUCUCAGGGACGAAGCAAGUGACGGUACCUGAGGAAUAAGCCACGGCUAACUACGUGCCAGCAGCCGCGGUAAUACGUAGGUGGCAAGCGUUAUCCGGAUUUACUGGGUGUAAAGGGCGUGUAGGCGGGAAAGCAAGUCAGAUGUGAAAACCAUGGGCUCAACCUGUGGCCUGCAUUUGAAACUGUUUUUCUUGAGUACUGGGGAGGCAGACGGAAUUCCUAGUGUAGCGGUGAAAUGCGUAGAUAUUAGGAGGAACACCAGGGGCGAAGGCGGUCUGCUGGACAGCAACUGACGCUGAGGCGCGAAAGCGUGGGGAGCAAACAGGAUUAGAUACCCCUGUAGUC